CCGCCCGUCACAGCAUGGGAGUUGACUCAACUCGAAGCCGGUGAGCUAACCGCAAGGAGGCAGCCGACCACAGUGGGGUUAAUGACUGGGCUG
rnacentral:rRNA from 1 species